UGUAGAUCCUGAGGUGACUACUUUUAUUGCCAAGAGAGAGGCUUUAUAACCUGUGUGACUCAACAACCGCAGGAACUUUCUGUCUUGGUAAGUGGAUAGUGGCCCAGUGUAAACACUGCCCAGUGGUGGGCACAUCCAAUUCCUCACACUCAUGGGGUGGUUUAACAAGGGUGGGGAUUGCUGCUGGAACACCCUGGGCAGUGCUCAGGACCCUUCUCCAUGGUCCCUUUGUUUGUGUCCCCAUGUACCUUCAGAAUCAGAGAUAGCCACAGGUCUUUUCAGAGCAUCAAUAGCAUGGCUCUGUGAAUCAUCCAACCAUAGAUCUUCAGGACACCCACAAAGGAAAAGAGGUUUUUUAUUUUGUCAUAUGUCAGCUGACCUAACCUACAGGGAUGUGUCUCAUGUUGUCUUGGACCCAGUCCUUUAAUAAUUAGAAUAUCAGUGGCAAGAGUUUCAUUUUAUUUUAGAGUUUGUUCUUUUGCCUCUGUGCUCUGAACUUUGUACAAAAUGGAGUGUUUGCUAAAAGUUUUACUGUGGCAGCCACUUUUUAAAAAUCUGUUUCUGAUGCUGCAUCAAUCUCACUGAUUUUACAAUUCUAGUAAUUUACCAAUAGGAUCAUUGUAGAUAGCAUCCACUAAUAGGCCAAAGCCGCAAGGCAGAACAGAACUCUUUUUCUCCAUCCAAUUUGGAUAACUUCCCAUCAAAAACUGUCUCCUAAAUGUCUUUCUCAUUAGCCAGUUGUAUAGAAACUUCUCCACCAGGAGCUCUGAAAUAUAUAUAUAAACAUUCAGAAGUCAGGACAUAAAUCUUUGGGAGUGGAUUUUAGAAACCAAUAAUUUUCAUUUCAGAGAUGAUCCAGGUGGUUGGAGACACUUUAGGAAAAUAUAUACACUUGUAACAGUUUUUUUUCUAGCUUCAUGAAUAACUUUCUCUAUAGUUCUUAAUGUCUGGUAGUGUUUUCCAAUACUGCAAAUUAAGGCCAUUCACAAGCACAGUACUGUUUCCCCAGGGCAUACAAAACAGUGUCCCUUCAGAGGUCCCCUGUUGCCUCUAAUUUAGACCUAUUUAACUUAACUGUGCCAAGAGCAUCUCAAAUUCCUGACAAGCAAGGUCAGUGUAGAAACUCCCCAAGUCUGGCUGUAUUCUGUAAAUACAUCAUGAACUUGCUACUUCAGGAUUUCUCAAUAUGUGCCUAGCCAUUUCACUCUUGGCAACUUUUCUCCCAAGGCUCUUCCUUGUAUUCUUCUGGUCGUUAUAGGACAAAUAGGAAAUUUAGGAAAGGGGGCCAAUUUAUUUGGUACUUCAGCAAAGACCCAUGAAAGAAAGAAAGUGGAAAGUUUGAGCUGGGCAGAAGCUAGCAGGUCUCCACAUUACUCAACUUUGAGCGCCUUUCUCUGGUACCCAGGACAAAUUGUCAGUGCUAUUAAUAUCCACUAUGGUUACCAUUCCUGUCUCCCAGUAGACAAAUCCUUUGUCAGAAUAGACCUUUUAACAGUGCCAUGAUUCUGAUUUACUGCAAUGCAAGAACCUGUUCUUUUAAAGUUUACUUAUGCACAUUUUGCAGUGCAAAUAUUCAACUCACAUUAAUUAAAAUAGCCUAUUUAGCAGCAGGAAAAUUAUUACUGUUUCAUGGUCAUUCAAAAGAAAUUAUCCAGCAACCACAGAAAUUCUGCCAAAACCUGAGCAUUUGCACAUGUUCACAUUGAUCCAAUGCCUGUUUCUAUGUUCAUUAUGAUUCUAUAUUUUCUUUCUUUUAAAUUUUUAAAAUUUAUGUAUUAAUUGAAGGAUCAUUGCUUUACAGAAUUUCAUUGUUUUCUGUCAAACAUCAACAUGAGAUUGUCUAUUUUCUGUUGAAGGUAUUGACAUUUUUUCAUUUGUCCUAGUUUUCAUUUAACAAUAUCUACUCAUGUUUGGCCACUGAGGGGAAGGAAAGUUUGAUCCCAGAUUUCUCACUAGGGACACAACCACUUGCACAGGGUGGGGAAAGUGGGCUUGCCUUAGAAUUUGGGAGAGGCUUCUUCAAAACAGCCUGGGUGUGCUCAUGUUCGACCAAUCACCAAAGUCAAC
ensembl:lncRNA